GAUGAACGCUGGCGGCGUGCUUAACACAUGCAAGUCGAACGGAAAGGCUCCUGCUUGCAGGGGUACUCGAGUGGCGAACGGGUGAGUAACACGUGGGUGAUCUGCCCUGCACUUCGGGAUAAGCCUGGGAAACUGGGUCUAAUACCGGAUAGGACCACAUUUUGGAUGGUGUGGUGGAAAGUUUUUCGGUGUGGGAUGAGCGCGCGGCCUAUCAGCUUGUUGGUGGGGGAAUGGCCUACCAAGGCGUCGACGGGUAGCCGGCCUGAGAGGGUGGACGGCCACAUUGGUACUGAGAUACGGCCCAGACGCCUACGGGAGGCAGAAGUGGGGAAUAUUGCACAAUGGGCGCAAGCCUGAUGCAGCGACGCCGCGUGGGGGAUGACGGCCUUCGGGUUGUAAACUCCUUUCGCUAGGGACGAAGCGCAAGUGACGGUACCUGGAGAAGAAGCACCGGCUAACUACGUG
rnacentral:rRNA from 1 species